GGGUUGUGAGGUUAAGCGACUAAGCGUACACGGUGGAUGCCCUGGCAGUCAGAGGCGAUGAAGGACGUGCUAAUCUGCGAAAAGCGUCGGUAAGGUGAUAUGAACCGUUACAGCCGGCGAUGUCCGAAUGGGGAAACCCAGUGCAAUUCGUUGCACUAUCGUUAACUGAAUACAUAGGUUAACGAGGCGAACCGGGGGAACUGAAACAUCUAAGUACCCCGAGGAAAAGAAAUCAACCGAGAUUCCCCCAGUAGCGGCGAGCGAACGGGGAGCAGCCCAGAGUCUGAAUCAGCUUGUGUGUUAGUGGAACGGUCUGGAAAGUCCGACGGUACAGGGUGAUAGUCCCGUACACCAAAAUGCACAGGUUGUGAACUCGAAGAGUAGGGCGGGACACGUGGUAUCCUGUCUGAAUAUGGGGGGACCAUCCUCCAAGGCUAAAUACUCCUGACUGACCGAUAGUGAACCAGUACCGUGAGGGAAAGGCGAAAAGAAC
rnacentral:rRNA from 1 species